CGCAGCCAUCCCAUCUUCCUUUCGCUUCUUCUCUCUCUUCCAUUUUUAUGCAAGGUCAAGUUUUACUUUAGCCAAGGACAAACUUUGCCCUUCCAUUUUUUAGCAAGUUCAUUGUCUCUCCUUUUCUUCAACGAUUUAGUCAACAAAAGAUACCAAAGAACUUUUUUUUUAAUUCUGAUUUUUGUGCAGAAAAUCACUAGAGCAGAGAUUCAAACAACUUUUUUUUAAUCCAAGAUCGGCCCGUGACCCUCCUCUGCCAAAGGAUUUUGAAUUUUAAAAUCAGGAACAUGAACCCUAGAUCAAUACUUUUCACCUAUAAAUACAUCCUAAAGUUUCAGCCAAGAUCCAUCGGAAAAUCCCUUCUAAAAAUCAAUUUUUACCACCUAAAAGGUAUCUCCGAGCUAAUUCAAAAAGGAAUAGAUCUGAAGCCUUGCAAGCCCCAAGUUCACUGCCUCGCGGAAGCGACAUGGAGUCUUAAUGCAAGACUCUUCCUACCCGCAUAAGAGUUAUCACAAACUAUCCUCUUUAAUCGCAUUGGACAAGAAGAAAACAAGCAAAUUUGCUUGGGGUCGCCUAUGGCGGUUUUCAUUAUUCUUUACUUACUUUGUCUAAAUUUUUGUUAGUUCAUGUGAUUUGAUUUGGUUUGGAAUUCGUUUUAUUAUUGAGGAUUAAUUUUAUCGUGUAAA